rnacentral:tRNA from 4 species
GGGGAUGUAGCUCAGUUGGCUAGAGCGCUACGCUGGCAGCGUAGAGGUCGUGGGUUCGAGCCCCAUCUUCUCCA